UAUCACAUCAUGACAAAUAAAUGCAGGACUUUAUGAAAGCUUCCUACUUCCACUUGCAGGAGGUUUUCCCCUUCAAUCUUCAUGUAACAACUAGAAGGGUUACAACCAUAAAGUUCUCAGAAGAUUCAGUCAAAGACGAAACCAUACAAAGUCCCUGCCACGGAUCCUGCUGGGUAAGAAAUACCAACCCUCAAGUCUGACCAGAGAGUGGGGCCCAGUUUUGAAUGAAGAAUAUCAGGUCAGCUUCACUCUAUUGUCCUGCUGAAAGCUGUGCAAGGGAGAGGUUAUUGGUGGACUCAGACGGUUGGUAAUGACAGUGAAUGGGGAUUGACCCAGGCAGAACCACGGUCAAGAAUUUCCUGGGGUUUGUUGAAGACAUUGCAAUAAUUCUACCGUUCUCCAGUUCCUAUAAAUUGUGGCAAGAAGUUCAAUGUCCUUCCUGCAGCCCUGGCACAAACAACUCCCAGUGUGUUUAGAGGCCUGGAGACCAAAUGAGUCAUCAGAAUGAUCUUGCCCAUCUUUGCAAGGGAUCAUCAGUUCAGGAAAGUUUUUCCAUUAUUUUUCUGCUCAGGGAGAGGGCAGCAGUUCUGAUGUCAUUCCAGUGUCAGCUGAGGAGAGGCAAAAGUUAUCCUCUUGCUGCAGAGGAAGAUUGCAGCUGCAGUGUUUCACUGGGCUGUACUCCACGUAAUCUCAGUCCCUGUGUCACCUGCAAGGCUCAGUCCUGGCAGUUCCAGGCAAAUUUGCUCUGAGGGAUUCUCCAAUGGUCCCAGGCCUUGCAGGUGGGCUUUGAGCCCCCUAUCCCAGCCUUUGGAAUCAGUUUGGAGAGGGGAUGUGCCUCUAGCCAGCACACUGAACCUUGGCCCUGCUGGGUUUUGGGAUCACAAUGCACCAGCUCCAGUCAUCUCUACCUUGAAUGUCGGCAUUUUAGUAGCAUUUACCAAUUAUCACCGAGUUUACACUUUCGAAUGAUGAGGAAGAUUCUUACAUGUCUUGUUCUUGUUUGAGUGAUGUAUUGUGAGCAUUUGAUCUCAAACAAAGCUAAAAUUGUAAAACAUGUCAAUAAAAACAAUAUGUUGUCUCCA